CUCUUCAUUCUCUCUCUCUAAAUAACUCUAUUUUUUUCCUUAAUUCAGGUGAUGGAUGGGCUUUGGAGUCAGACAUUAAAAGCCUCUGACUGUUAAAGAAGCCUACCACCUCUGGAUGGCUCUCAACACCCAUGGGCAAUGAAGCAAACCCAGCCAGAGUUUCUCUACACUGACGAAAUGCGUAAACAGUUGCCUGGAAUCAUCAUGACUAUCGGGGACCAGUUCAUAGCCCCAAGAAGAGCAGCUUAGGGCUUAUGGCGUAGGAUACGAUGCUUUCUGCAGUGAGGCUGACAGCGGUCUACAGAGGUUUUGUUCUUCGGAUGUUUCUGCCUACGCGAACAUAGUGGAAGCUUAACUUGUCUAGACCUUGGGUGACUGUAGGGUGACAUGUAGUGGUCUCGCCCGACAACACCUCCCACAGAAGCAGUCAUCGGAGAGGAAGCUAGUAGCCUUCCACACACUUACCUCCCCUGCAGAGACACCAUGGGGAUUCCCUGGCACGGCAGGAGCCUCUGUGGCCUGAUCUGGGUCUUCAGAGCUUUUCACUUCUUCGGGCUGGCUGUUCACCGGUGCACUUUCUCUUCCUUUGUCCAGUUUAAAGAAUCUAUUCAAAAAGCCGAAAUCCUUGACCUGGGCGGGGGCUUCUGCCUGGGACUCAGGUGGCGCUGCGCUUGGACUGACAUCAAACCUCCCCGAUGCAGCCGAUGAAUCCGUGCCUUGGUCCCCGGGACGUCCUGGUACAGGCCGAGAGAGUGUCAAGAAAAAAUGGGAUCUAGCAGCUGGUGCCUUGGUCUUGGCUUCUUUCCCAAGAUUCUUUCCGCUGGCAUCGCCCACAGCCUGGGCCUCCAUUGUCUUGGGGGAAGAAGUAGCCACAUUAUCCUUGGAGCUGCUGAUUCCCAAGUCGACUGUAAACACAAACAUAAACAGAGGUCAUUCAACAAGCCAGGAAAUUCAAGGAUGAAUAAUGGACUCCAACUUUUGAUACACAACGUCCCUUCUGCAGACUGGGGCGGCCUUGUUCCCUGCUGUCAGCCCAGUAGACACCUCCUGACCCUGCUCUUCCUAGAAGAGAGACCCUCUGAGGAUGAUGAGGCAGAAAAGCCAAGGACUGGGAAGUCACUACCUGCCAGGCACCACGUGAGUGACACCCAAUGUCCACUGUCAUCUUCUACUUCCUUGGGAUCCUGAAAAGUGUUUACUUAAUUUUUUUCCAAUAGAAAUCAUGGUGUGUUUGUU